rnacentral:tRNA from 1 species
UCCUUGGUCAAGCGGUUAAGACACCGCCCUUUCACGGCGGUAACACGGGUUCGAGUCCCGUAGGACACCA